GGAAGCGUGGCCGAGCGGCUUAAGGCACCGGUCUUGAAAACCGGCGACGGUUCAUCCCGUCCGUGAGUUCGAAUCUCACCGCUUCCGCCA
rnacentral:tRNA from 1 species